AGCGAACGCUGGCGGCAGGCCUAACACAUGCAAGUCGAACGAACUCUUCGGAGUUAGUGGCGGACGGGUGAGUAACACGUGGGAACGUGCCUUUUGGUUCGGAAUAACUCAGGGAAACUUGUGCUAAUACCGAAUGUGCCCUUCGGGGGAAAGAUUUAUCGCCAUUAGAGCGGCCCGCGUCUGAUUAGCUAGUUGGUGAGGUAACGGCUCACCAAGGCGACGAUCAGUAGCUGGUCUGAGAGGAUGACCAGCCACACUGGGACUGAGACACGGCCCAGACUCCUACGGGAGGCAGCAGUGGGGAAUCUUGCGCAAUGGGCGAAAGCCUGACGCAGCCAUGCCGCGUGAAUGAUGAAGGUCUUAGGAUUGUAAAAUUCUUUCACCGGGGACGAUAAUGACGGUACCCAGAGAAGAAGCCCCGGCUAACUUCGUG
rnacentral:rRNA from 1 species